rnacentral:tRNA from 1 species
AGCCUUGUGGCACAAUAGCAGCACGUCUGAUUCCAGAUCAGAAGGCUAUGUGUUCAAAUCACAUUGGGGUCA